AAAUUAAUUAACCGAGAUUGAGAUCAAGGAAUCGCCACCAUCGUCACUGUUGUCACUGAGGAAGGAUGGCAAGAAGCAUCCCUAUCAUGAAGUCCAGAUGUAAAAGCAAAGGAAGUGGCAUGCUUGUCUAUAGCAGGAAAGAAGACCAAGGCCGAGAACCAUCUCCAAGCAAAGCAAAUUGGUUCGGCCAUAAGAUGAGGAUGCUGUCAUUUCCCCACUUUCAGUUUUGAUUUAGCAUAAGCUAAAUCUCCUAAAGAAGGAGAGCCCUGAUCAAGAAGGAUCACCAAAGUCGAUGUGGACUAUUUUGGCCACUACAAGUAUAGCUAGAUAGAAUUCAAGAGAGAGAUCUGCCAC
rnacentral:lncRNA from 1 species